AUGAGAGUUUUCUUGUUGAACUCCCUCGCAGCAGAAAAUUAUUCGCAAAGUGAUCAUCCAACCUAACAGUCUUGUUUCGAGUGUUUCAAGUCAGAAUGGACGGUGCGUUAUUACCGAGACUAGCUUUGCCUAAUAUUACAAAGUUCCGAGAUGUUGGACAAAAAAUUAUCCAAAAGGCUCGCGAAUCACCUAUGAUUCCGCUUGGACUCGCCGGUAUUGCGGUUGCUUGUGCUAUCGGUGCUCGAAGAUAUAAGUUAAGUGGAACGAUGGCUCCUUCGGUUAGCCUGAUGCAGGUUUACAUGAUGCAAGGAACGAUGGUGGCCGCUUUGACGCUGGGACUAAGCGGUAAAAUGGCAAAAGAGUAUCUGGACAACCAGAAGAAUAAGGCCCGUGCGAGAGUGGUGUGGUGAAUGUAUACAGGAUGAGAAUUAGUUAUCUACAGCGUUUGGCGAUCUAUAUCCAACUUCACGUUGGAUCUACUACAAUUGGUGACAUCUGUUCCAAAACAUGGCGAUGAAGAUAUAAUUCAUUAGUGCUAAUCCUAUCUUCUUGUGUUUGAGUAAAUCUUAAAGAUCAUCCAAUUUUUGUAUGGAUAUCUGCGCCUUACAGAUUCAGUGAUUUUUCGUUUUAAGAACCCAAUGUGAAAAGUGUAUUCGAGUCAUUAUUGUAAAUUGUUAUAUUUCUGUGCUAUUAUAAUUGUGAAUAAAAGAAAAAAAAACUGAACAAAAUAAAUCAAUAUAUUUAAUCUU